UCGGGGAGCAGAGGCGGCGCGGGCACGACACUUAAAGGGGCCCGGGAGGCGGGGGCGGCCGCCGCGCGGAGGGGUAGGCUGCCGGUGGGGCGCAGCUCCGCGAGCGGCGAGGGGUGCCGGAGGUGGCUGCAUUCUUUCGAAAGCGAGGGAGCAGCUGGGCCGAUCUUUGUUCUUUUGAGACAAAGCCCCUGAACUUGGGUCCUCGCUUUGUGCAGGUGCAAGUGCUCGUGUAUAGAAAGCCCGUGGUGGGGGAAAGGGUUUAUUUAAUACAUGAGGUUGCCGUUUCACAGGACUGAUUGGAAUCUCACGACACCCAAGAUUUCUACUAUUAAAAUAGUGGAUUAAGUGUUCAUGCCAGUAAGCAGUCCUUGUUUUGCACAAUGGAGUGUACACAGAACCCUGAUUUGCAACGUUGGUAUCUCUGUUUACUGGGAGCAUCUACGUCAUGGAACUGCCAGUAUUGAACUCCAGUUUUGUUCAGGUGUCCAUCGCUCCCCUAGGCCAGCGUGCCUCAGGUAAUCCCAUGCCCAUUUUGGGGCUCAAUGCUGAGAUCAAGAGUUACAUGCUCUACCGACGGAGGCCAGGUACCCCAAGCCAUAUCCUUUACAACUAUUGAUCAGUCAGUAUAUAUGAACCAGGAACAAAAUCAUCUCAUAAAUAUUGACUCCAAAUUAAAAAUACAUCUCUAAUGUGCUAGUUUAUUCUUACUUUUGCUGCUUCUUGCACU